rnacentral:ncRNA from 1 species
UAUCUGGUUGAUCCUGCCAGUAGUCAUAUGCUUGUCUCAAAGAUUAAGCCAUGCAUGUCUAAGUACAAACCUUAAUACGGUGAAACCGCGAAUGGCUCAUUAAAUCAGCUAUGGUUCCUUAGAUCGUCUCAUCCUACUCGGAUAACUGUGGAAAAUCUAGAGCUAAUACGUGCUUACAAGCCCUGACCUCACGGGAGGGCGCAUUUAUUAGAUCAAAACCAAUCGGGGCUUGCCCCGUCUGCUUGGUGACUCUGGAUAACUUUUGUGCUGAUCGCAUGGCCUCUUGCGCUGGCGACGUAUCUUUCCAAGGCGGGCUUAUUUUCUAGCGCGCUUAAUUGUGUGCUAUACUUAAAUAA